UACGUAGGGGGCAAGCGUUGUCCGGAAUUAUUGGGCGUAAAGAGCGUGUAGGCGGCCAGAUAAGUCCGCUGUGAAAUCUCGAGGCUCAACUUCGAGCUGUCGGUGGAAACUAUCUGGCUAGAGUCCGGAAGAGGAGAAUGGAAUUCCUGGUGUAGCGGUGAAAUGCGCAGAUAUCAGGAAGAACACCCGUGGCGAAGGCGGCUCACUGGCCCGGUACUGACGCUGAGGUGCGAAAGCGUGGGGAGCAAACAGG
rnacentral:rRNA from 1 species